GAUGAACGCUGGCGGCGUGCCUAAUACAUGCAAGUCGAGCGAACGGACGAGAAGCUUGCUUCUCUGAUGUUAGCGGCGGACGGGUGAGUAACACGUGGAUAACCUACCUAUAAGACUGGGAUAACUUCGGGAAACCGUAGCUAAUACCGGAUAAUAUUUUGAACCGCAUGGUUCAAAAGUGAAAGACGGUCUUGCUGUCACUUAUAGAUGGAUCCGCGAUGCAUUAGCUAGUUGGUAAGGUAACGGCUUACCAAGGCAACGAUGCAUAGCCGACCUGAGAGGGUGAUCGGCCACACUGGAACUGAGACACGGUCCAGACUCCUACGGGAGGCAGCAGUAGGGAAUCUUCCGCAAUGGGCGAAAGCCUGACGGAGCAACGCCGCGUGAGUGAUGAAGGUCUUCGGAUCGUAAAACUCUGUUAUUAGGGAAGAACAUAUGUGUAAGUAACUGUGCACAUCUUGACGGUACCUAAUCAGAAAGCCACGGCUAACUACGUG
rnacentral:rRNA from 1 species